CCUACGGGGGGCAGCAGUGAGGAAUAUUGGUCAAUGGGCGCAGGCCUGAACCAGCCAAGUAGCGUGAAGGAUGAAGGCUCUAUGGGUCGUAAACUUCUUUUAUAUGGGAAUAAAGUUUUCCACGUGUGGAAUUUUGUAUGUACCAUAUGAAUAAGGAUCGGCUAACUCCGUGCCAGCAGCCGCGGUAAUACGGAGGAUCCGAGCGUUAUCCGGAUUUAUUGGGUUUAAAGGGAGCGUAGGUGGACAGUUAAGUCAGUUGUGAAAGUUUGCGGCUCAACCGUAAAAUUGCAGUUGAUACUGGCAGUCUUGAGUACAGUUGAGGUAGGCGGAAUUCGUGGUGUAGCGGUGAAAUGCUUAGAUAUCACGAAGAACUCCGAUUGCGAAGGCAGCUUACUAACCUGUAACUGACAUUGAUGCUCGAAAG
rnacentral:rRNA from 1 species